AUUUAUUUGGGGGAGAAGGGGAAAGAGGGAGGGGGCAGCGUGGAAGUGAAGGCUUUCACUGCCUCUUCCUCGAAUUGGAAAAGCUAUAUACAGUAGUAGCUGUCCGCACGUCCUUCGUGGGUUUAUUUCGAUCAGCUUUUGGAGUAAAAACGGGUGCAAAAUAGAUUCUGGUAUGAUUAGCUUGUCCCAAAAAAAAAAGUUUCAGAAGCCAUUUUAAUCUUUUUUUUCCAUAAUAUUCUUACAUAACAAUUCCUUCUUAAAGAAUUUUGCUUCGUUCAAAUAUUUUUUAAAAAAAAAAUAUGCGGCACAUGCCUGAAAAAAAAAAUAUUUUUUACAUAUUUAGUUGAUUAUAAAAAAUAAUAUUAUAUAGCUUAUAUUUAAUUGAAUAUUUAUUUUUUCGAUAAAGUUAUGUAAAAUAGUUUUUAAAGUAUCUUAUUAUAUUCUAUUUUAUUUAAAAGUUUAAAAAUAUUUUUUAAGAAAAUUACCUUAUUUUUCGGGUGCUAGAAAUAAAAAUUGGAUUUUCUCAUAUCUUACGGUGAUCUUUCUUUCUGAUGGAAAUCUCAAUUUCAU
rnacentral:lncRNA from 1 species